rnacentral:rRNA from 1 species
CCUACGGGGUGCAGCAGUGGGGGAUAUUGCACAAUGGGGGGAACCCUGAUGCAGCGACGCCGCGUGGGUGAAGGAGCGUUUCGGCGCGUAAAGCCCUAUCGGCAGGGAAGAAGAUGACGGUACAUGACCAAGAAGCCCCGGCUAACUACGAGCCAGUAGCGGCUGUAAUACGUAGGGGGCAAGCGUUAUCCGGAUUGACUGGGUGUAAAGGGGGCGCAGACGGCAAUGCAAGAGAGGAGUGAAAGCCCGGGGCCCAACCCCGGGACUGCUCUUGGAACUGCAUGGCUGGAGUGCAGGAGGGGCAGGCUGAAUUCCUAGUGUAGCGGUGAAAUGCGUAGAUAUUAGGAGGAACACCGGUGGCGAAGGCGGCCUGCUGGACUGUGACUGACGUUGAGGCCCGAAGGCGUGGGGAGCAAACAGGAUUAGAUACCCGAGUAGUC